GUGAGAAGGUCCGGAACAGCUUUACCGCAUCCCGUCCGAUCUGCGCAGUCAAACACUGUAGGGCCGAGUCAGUAGUGCGGUGGGGGACCACGCGCGAAUACUCUGGUGCCCCAGGUU
rnacentral:rRNA from 1 species